AUGUUCUCUCUUUCUCUCUUGUCAUGAAAUCAGAGCAUUUGCUCUCUCUUAUCGAUUGUGAUUUUUAAAAAGCUUAGUACAGAUCUCGGAAAUUAUCAAUGAUUAGCAGAUCUCCGGCGAGAUUCCGGUAGAUCUUUGAAAACUAUCGAUGAUUAGCAGAUCGUUACUCAACCGGAAUCAACUCACCGGAGCAAAUCCGACGUCAAUUUCCGAGAUCUACCAGCUUGCGAAGACCGUUGAAGAUGGGGUUGUGGUGGGGUGUGAAGUACGAUGAAGGUGGGGGGUUUGUGGUGGUGUUUGACGGUGAAGGUGAAGGUGGGGGUUGUGGUGGUGUGAAGUCCUGUGAAGAUGAGUUUUUUGGGGGGUUGAGUUGGCCGAUGAAGGUGGGGGUUUGUGGUGGUGUUUUCACAGUGAAGGAGGGGGUUGUGGUGGUGUUCUAUGGCGACAGUGGAGGUGGUUUAUGUGGGGUUGUAGAUCUGAAACCCAUUGUUUGUGUGGUGCUUGUAGAUCUGAACGCAUCGUGUUCAACCGAAUUCUAAGGUGGUUUUUGGCCUCAAUUGCCACCAUCAACCACCCUGUCACCACCACAAGCACCCAUACAUCUGUUCUCUAUCUAGGAAAACCUAAAUCAAAAGAGGUUCUUUGUGGUUUUGAAUCAAUGUGUUUGUGACCGGUAGUGGUGGUGUGGGACACGCGCCCUUUUUCUGACUCACUGAACCACCCUCACUCUCUUUCACGCGCCGCCGGUGGUGCCGAUGGUGCCCGGUGGUGCCGGUGUUUUUUUAUAUUUUCAGUCGGGUGUGUCAGUGCUCCCGGUGGUAUUUUAUAUUUUCAUGGGCAGACUACAGAAGAUGUCUUUUAUAUUUUUGGGAGCUAGGGAACCGUUGUGGGUUUGGUUAUUGCUAAAGAUCGAAUCACUGGUAACCCUCGCCGGUUCGCUUUUGUUUCGUUCGCAGAUGCCUCUUGUUGACAGUCAUGCCAUUCUUGGCAGAUCGGUUUGGUUUUUUUUCCCCGUUAAUCACUAAUUGCUUCCAUUUGUGUUGACUACUUGACUAAUGAUUUUGUUUUAUGUUAUAGCAUUGUGUACU